UAGGGAAUCUUCCACAAUGGGGCGCAAGCCUGAUGGAGCAACGCCGCGUGAGUGAAGAAGGGUUUCGGCUCGUAAAGCUCUGUUGUUAAAGAAGAACGUGGGUAAGAGUAACUGUUUACCCAGUGACGGUAUUUAACCAGAAAGCCACGGCUAACUACGUGCCAG
rnacentral:rRNA from 1 species